AAAAGGAGAAGAAUGCUGCUCAGCUGAGUCGGCGGUCACACUACUUAUUCAAGAAGCUCUUGGAUAUCAUCGGCAUGUGUGAAGCACAGUCAUUCCGGUAGGCACGGAGUCGUUCCUCGAUGGACGUGAUGACCUGGCACCAAAACCACUUAAUGUGUAUGAAGCUGUGUCUGCAUCGAGGGAAGAACCCAGCACUGAAAUGACACAAAUGAAAGAGGACGUCUUCUCUGCUGGGUCUGCGACACUACUUAUCCUAGGAAUCCUCAAACAUCAGGAUGUAGGAAACUUAUGGUGAGAUGCCAAGAACCGCCAUGAGGGAUAUGCAACCUGCAGCUUCACCAUGCUUUUGGGAGAUCAUGUACUACGUGAACCUUGAGUAUCUACAAGCCAGCUACUUUAAGUCCUUGAAAGGGUAGUGAUGUCAUUCAAGCCAGAUCACGAGACAAGAUCCUGUACAAACUGUCAAUCUAAGUGUUGCGACAUCCCUGUCAGUUCUUUUGGACUGAAUACAUGCUGUGUUUGAAAUGUAUUAUUCGGAUAACCUCCCAUCAGGGAAUACCUUGUCUGUUUAUGACGGAUGGACAUGCCAUUGACAUGCAGUGCACACUUUGAUGUUUUUUAUUUUAAUGUUUUCUAUGUUUUUCCGAUGUUCUUUU